CCUUCAACACAAGGAGCAUUAGAAAGGUCUUCCUCCCUUUGGGUUUUCUCCUCCACCCUUUCCUCACCAAAAGGGAUGUUCCCAACACAAAAACAACUCUUGUGACCAUUUCAGAUGCUAGUGGACAAAAGACACUAAUUUUAGUAAAUUGAGGACUCAUUGAAAGGGAUCCCACAAAGAAAACACCUGAGCAGAGCUGGUGUCUUCUGCUAAGCACGUUAAGAAAGAGAGUCGGAAUUCAAAUGCAUCAAGUUUUGCUGCAAAAUUUUGAUGCUGUUAUUUGUGCAUUUUUUUGGAAGUCUGCAACUUUCUUAGCAUGGAUGAGCAGCAGACACCUUGUUAGAGAAGUGGAUUGGGGUAGGGAUGGCAAAUGCCAGAUUCAGGCAGAUCAUGGUAUGACCACCCACCCUCCUUGGUGCUUCAGUUGAUGGAUUUUUAUGAGGACGCAACCCAGCACAACUGGACAUUGACCAUCAUGUUCUCAAUUAGAAAACCACCUUCUGGAGCAAAAGUAGAACUAGAAAGGACCACUUCCAAAAAAAACCAGCAGCUCUCAAAGACAAGAAGAUCAGAGCACGAGCGUUUUAAUUAGAAAAUCACAAGGCAGCUCAAGCUCUUGGCUCUCGAGGUGGGACUCUCCACACACAGCUCCCUGACUGAACAGCACGGAGAACCAGCAACUUCUCCUGCAGUGUGAAAUGCGAUAUCAGCACUUUUCUUUAUAAAUAAAGGCAGUGUUUGGGAGGGGAGCAGUGACAGCUGAUCGGGCUCCCGCAGGGAACAAUGAGCCAUUCAGCCCCGGCUUAUCGAGGCCGCGGCGCUAGGCCCGAGCGAGGCAACCUUGCUCAUCUUUCAAACACACACCCCGCAGCCCUCUGCCACAAAAUAAAAUCAAGAAUGCAGGAAUUUCCUGAGGCUUACUGGGCCUUCCAGAGUAUAAAGUGUCUGCUUGUUUUCCCACUGCUUACACAAGCAGGAGGUAUUUUUUUUCGGCCCUGCUCGAGCACAUCCCCCGGCGGAGUCGGGGCCGUGCGUGCUCUAACCCGAGGGUCACCGAAUUACACGGGACCUUUUCAUGUCUCCAGUCACAACAACCACUCCAGCCCUGAAUCCACUGCUUCUGCAUCUUUUAAUUUGCACAGGUUAUUAGGUUAACAGCCACUUUAAACACCAAAAAAGGCUUUCCCCCUCCUUUCCUUCAGAGCUUGGCAAUCCCACCCACUGUGAUGGCUGAAGACAAGGAACAACCUCCUGAAGACUCUGUUCAAGGGCCUGAAGGUGAAUAAGCACACGUUGAAUUCAAGGGCAAGAUGCUGGUGGCAAAAUUAGGAUUAAACACCAGGUAUUCUUAUGUAAGUCUUGCCCCGUAUCACUCAAUUCUGUCUAUUGCAUUUCAAACUCGCGUGGCUGACAACUACAUAAUGCAAACAUCCUCAGUGGCCACAGAAAGAUUUCCAUCCACUUUGAACAAACCAUUUAUUCAUUUCCAUCACCAGCUCAUAAAGUCACCUGGGUCACCAAGGGACAGACUGUUGUAUAAUCCUGGGCAGUUGCAUGACUUGACUUUGAUCCUUUUCAACAUUCCAUGUAGCACACAGGAGGCAGGCCCAGUUUAUAAUGAAUUCAGAGGUCCCCAUCUCCUGGAAGCUGCCACACAAUCGGGUGCUGAAUAUCAGGAUGAGAUGUCUGGGCAUCCACCUCUGGAGGCUCUAUGGAAGUCAAACUAAAAACUACAGCUGAGUUUAAAGCCAACACUCCAUUCAGCUUCCAAAAGUUACAACCAUCCAACACAACUUGUGAGUAAAAGCAAUAACUGUUAAAAUAUACAAAUAACUUUCAGAGAAUGCACUGAAUCACAUAUUUUGACAUGUUCUUACCACAUCACUAAAUUAUUCACAUUUCUCCUGCCAUCACAUAUGAGAGGCUGUACUCCAAGAGUGAAGGACUUGGUACUUCUGACUAUUUUUAUUGGUACAUGAUUACAAACAGGGCUGUGACUAAUGACAGGCCCAGCCCAGCCACCCCAGUGUGGCUGGGAGGUUUAAUGACUUCGAAAAGCCUUUAUAUAUUAACAGCCAGAAUUCCAGGGAACAAGCUGUGUCACCAGCCAAAAGCUGUUGAUCAUCACAGCCUUAAAAAAAUCUCCCUGGUAAUCUAAAAGCUUGGCUUUGAAGUGAAAAUGAUAUAAGAGGAGGAAAUACAGCCUUUUGUUUAAAGAGCCAGGAGGGAGAUUCAGGUUCACAACCACUGUAAGCCCUGGAAAAGGUAAAUAUUCUUUCCAUUUGAGAAAUAAGAGCAACGGGUAACACAAACUGACAAGAAUCCCUUUGUAGUUAUAAAUAUAUAAACAGAGCUGGAGGUGUUGGGAGCUGAAAUUCUUUCCAGCAGAGAUUGAUGAAAUUGUUUUGAGGUGCAAGACGAGCGCUCAGAGAUUUGCAUUAAUGAAGUGAAAGGACGCCAGACGUGCUUAAAAGCAAAAAUUAAGGUUGGUCUCGGUCUCAGGGAAGAACUGAGGACAUUUAGCUUUUAUUUCCUCACCUACACACUAAUAUAUGUGCAUCACUAAUUAGCUGGGGCUCCCAGCUUUUCCAGGCACCACACAAGUGCCACUUGCAGGAGCGUGGCAGCCUCCAGCACAGCUGGCACUGGAAAAUUUAUAAUUUUAAAGAAUCCCACUGACCACAGCCAGCCUGGACAUUGGUUUCCCAUAUCCACACCAAAAAACCCCCAAACACGCCACUCAUCUGAUAUUCCCAGACUGCAAACUGAUGUGAGGCUUCAGACCUGCAAAGCUUUUAAGUAAAUGCUCAAAAUUCUGCAAUUAACCACGCUGACAAAGCUGCCAAGAUAUUUAAUCCAUCUAGUACUCAAAUUAAAUAUUUUUUUUUCUGUCUAAUGAAGGUCCCCUUUGCUAUCAUCAAAACACAGCCCAUGCUGUUGACUUUGGGGGAGGAUGUUUAAAACCAGAACUCAGAUUAAAUUCCCCUGGGCAGGGAUUCAUGGCCCUAAUUCCACCAGCAAAACGUGAGCAACUCCUCCAAACAAGCCUGAUAAGGGGAACGUGUUUGAGUACAUGAGGUAAUAAUAAUCUAUUUUUAGGCUUUACAACUGUUUAUUCAAAAGAAAUAAAAGUUUAUCAAUACAUUUCAAAUACCCACGUGCAAACAGCAGGAGCAUUGCAGCUCCUCCUCUCCAGGAAGUUUCACAGCUAUUUUAGGAUUGUCUGUACUCAGUUAAAGGUUUUCCCCCAACUGACACCAAGCCAAAAUUAAAAAAAACCUCAGGCAAAGCUUUGCUUAUGCUUUCCCAAUUUUUGAAUGCUGGAAAAAACACCAUGGGCAAGUAGUAAAACUACAUUUUAUCACUGUUUUGCAGCAUGGAAUUACAGAAUAAACAAUUUAAAAGUCAUUUUGACACAUGGACUAUUAUUGCAAUCAAAGAUGACACACACGCACACAUCCUCCAGUUCAUAUUUUCAAAAUUCAGAGAAUAAUUUGAACUAAAAAAACUCUUUGUAACUCUUUGCUCCUGUAAUGAGCACCCUGAGUGUUGUGUGGCCCUGGGAGGCAGGAAUUGCUUUGGGCCUGCUAAACAACCUGGAAUAAUAUUUUCUGCAAACAACUUUUUCAUAGUUAUUUCAAUGGUUUCCUCUCCUGCAGGAUGAAAAUGCUAAUACUGUAUAGAUGGCAAAAAAAUUGGUGAAUAUUUUUAAUAUAAAGGGGUUUUUUCCUGCUUUAGUUCCUUUUCUGCUUCUGGCCAGGGCAAACCUGAAGCACCAAACUCAAAUGGCAUUUUCCAUCACACUCUCCUACUAUUCAGAAAGAAAAGAUUCUUUCCUCAAACCCUGUGUUAAUCACAAAAAACAGAAAAAAAAUAAAAAGGUGUCAUCAUUUCAAGGAGCUGGAGAUGUGCUCCCAGUCACUCACAACGACAGGGAAUAAACACAGCAAGGAGUGAAGCUAAGCAUGUGCUGGACACAAUUUCCACCAAAUUCCUCCUGAUUUUUCAUAAAGCCAAGGCUGGUUAUGACUAAAAUGUAAAAAUGUGAACUGCUUCUGGAUCCUGUCUGGCAGGGAGGGCAGGAGUGGGGAUUUCCAGCGGGUGUUGCACAAGGGUCACACUCCAAGGAAGAGAAGUUUUAACUCCUGCUGCUCCACCAGCCCCUGGACCACCCCAACCCCACCACCCUGCACUGACACCACUCUUUAACACCUUAAACACCACCAAAAACCCAGAAGUUAUGAAGGAAUAAUAAAAAGUUAUGAAGGAAUAAUAAAAAGUUCUCCAGUUUGUGGAAGGUUCCUGAACACUGAUCAGUCCCAUGGAGCAUCAGGGUGCAAGAAUGAAUCCAAGUGCCCCAAAAGUGUGGGAAAUGCACAGAAACACCCUGCAGGAACCACGGGAAUAAUUCAUUUGCAAGCCAUGAGCUGCCUGGGCGUGGGGAGGGCUCUUCCCUCACAACAGGAGGAGAUUUGAAUGAAGAAUGUGGCGCUGCCCUGCUCACAAAGCACCUCAGGUUCCUUUGCACAGGGAGAGGCUGCACUUGCUCUCAACAGAAAAAUCUGUUUGUUCUAGAAUAAACCCAGCAGGACAAGGCAGCAGAACAGGUCCGGGAGACAAAAGAAGAUGCUGCUGACCCUGUGCAGCUCCAGCUCCUCUGCUGGGAACAUCCCAGGGGACAGCUCUGGAUCCAUCUGCAGCAGGGUCAGGGGGGUUUGGAUGGCAGCAGGACAAGGUUCUUCCCCACAGGGUGCUCAGGCACUUCCCUCUCUCCAAAACGCAGCCCUGCAGCCAGCCAGGGGUGCCAAAACUCUUUGCAAAACAGCCCAGAAAUAUUUGGUUGUUGUUUGCUUUCACCCCAAAUUUCUACUGCAGAAAGGUGGAUUUUAGGGUUGAGAGAAAGAAAAAAGCAAUUCUUUCUUAUUUUAAAAAUAAUUCUGGCACAUUUCUCCCAACUCCUGCUUCUGGCAGCUUCUGCUGGGCUUUCCUGGCUUGUUUUAGAGAGAGUUUCUGUCUGCAGCCCUUCACCUCCCCAUCCUUCCCCCUGCUCCACAGUGUAGUAGCUGUUUAGUAGCCACAGCUCCAUCCUAAAACCUUCCACAUGCCUUCCUCCUAAGUGUUAAGAUUUCCUCUGCUGCUGCUGAUUAAAACAGAAGUUAAACAAGGGCUCCUUUUGCCUUCCAAACUUUCUCCUCCAAGUGUUUCAGCUGGGCUGUGUCAAAUAUUGUGAGGGGUUUAUUUUAAGGGUGAAACAAGCCCUAAACUGAAUUGAAUUAUUCAUCAGAAACGUGUAAUGUGCUCAUUAUUUCUGGCAUUUCCCAUAUGCUCUCAGGGCCUCAGUUCACUGCAGGAAUCCCAAUUUCAGCUCCCUGCACAUCCUCAGAGUGCCACAUUCCAGUGCUGCACACACAGACACAUCCAGAGGUGAGAACACAGCACCCACUCCCACACCGAUUAAAUCC